UACGUAGGGUGCAAGCGUUAAUCGGAAUUACUGGGCGUAAAGCGUGCGUAGGCGGUUUCUUAAGUCUGCUGUGAAAGCCCCGGGCUCAACCUGGGAAUGGCGGUGGAUACUGAGGAGCUGGAGUACGGUAGAGGAAGGUGGAAUUCCCGGUGUAGCGGUGAAAUGCGUAGAGAUGUGGAGGAACACCAGUGGCGAAGGCGACUCUUUGGUCUGUAACUGACGCUGAGGCGCGAAAGCGUGGGGAGCAAACAGG
rnacentral:rRNA from 1 species